UAACACCGGUUGAUUGUGGCGCAGGUGUUGCUGAGCCUGAUUAGUUUUAGAGUUGCAGUGGCAGAAAGGGAAAUUGAAAAAGAUAAAUGAAGUUAAGUAAAAGUGUAUUUGCUGCUGGUAAAGCCAUGCAUUUGCCACUGUCCCCUUGAAUGUCAUGGGGUGAAGAACUGUAAGGGCAGAGAGGAAAAAACUUAGAUAAGCAAGAAGAAAUAGAUUGAUCAACUUCUUCCCAAGCUCGUACCAAUAUGGAAGCUUCACCAAGCAGUCAAAUUUUUCUGUGUGAUCUUUGGAAGAGAAACGUAAUAUUGCAAGUUGUGAGUUCAAAACAAUGAUCAAGAUAGAGGUCUUACUAUGUUGCCCAGUCUGGUCUUGAACUUCUGGACUCAAGUGAUCUUCCUGCCUCAGUCUCCCAAACUACUGGGACUACAGGUUCCACUGGGAGGCUACCAUCACAUAAGGACUGCUGAUUGUCCAAAUCCAACUUGUGUGGA
rnacentral:lncRNA from 1 species